rnacentral:rRNA from 1 species
UCCCCCAGUAGCGGCGAGCGAACGGGGAGCAGCCCAGAGUCUGAAUCAGCUUGUGUGUUAGUGGAACGGUCUGGAAAGUCCGACGGUACAGGGUGAUAGUCCCGUACACCAAAAUGCACAGGCUGUGAACUCGAAGAGUAGGGCGGGACACGUGGUAUCCUGUCUGAAUAUGGGGGGACCAUCCUCCAAGGCUAAAUACUCCUGACUGACCGAUAGUGAACCAGUACCGUGAGGGAAAGGCGAAA